rnacentral:rRNA from 1 species
AUUGAACGCUGGCGGCAUGCCUUACACAUGCAAGUCGAACGGCAGCACGGGGGCAACCCUGGUGGCGAGUGGCGAACGGGUGAGUAAUGCAUCGGAACGUGCCCAGUAGUGGGGGAUAACUAGUCGAAAGAUUAGCUAAUACCGCAUACGACCUAUGGGUGAAAGCGGGGGAUUCGCAAGAACCUCGCGCUAUCGGAGCGGCCGAUGUCUGAUUAGCUAGUUGGCGGGGUAAAGCCCACCAAGGCUUCGAUCAGUAGCUGGUCUGAGAGGACGACCAGCCACACUGGGA